rnacentral:lncRNA from 1 species
GUCCAUUUUAUCAACCUUCAUAUCUUCGAUGGACAACUUCGUCUCGUUUAUAGUCGUCUUUAAUAUUAACUGUUCUCGUAAGAGCCUGUUCUCCUGGCCGACGUUUUGUAGUAUAUAAACAGGACAUAUUGGUCAGAUAACGACACAGCCAUAUUUAUAUUACAAUACGAGACUUGCUGAAGUUUAGCUCAGUAACUCAAAUGUACUUUGGAUGGACGAAAACCCUGUUUGUGAACCUUGAACGAUAGUGACGGUUAAACCUCAUUAUAAAA